rnacentral:rRNA from 1 species
UACGUAGGUGGCAAGCGUUAUCCGGAUUUAUUGGGUUUAAAGGGUGCGUAGGCGGGCUUUUAAGUCAGCGGUAAAAAUUCGGGGCUCAACCCCGUCCGGCCGUUGAAACUGGGGGCCUUGAGUGGGCGAGAAGAAGGCGGAAUGCGAGGUGUAGCGGUGAAAUGCAUAGAUAUCACGCAGAACCCCGAUUGCGAAGGCAGCCUUCCGGCGCCCUACUGACGCUGAGGCACGAAAGUGCGGGGAUCGAACAGG